UCAAAGGAGACUGCCAGUGAUAAACUGGAGGAAGGUGGGGAUGACGUCAAGUCAUCAUGGCCCUUACGACCAGGGCUACACACGUGCUACAAUGGCGCAUACAAAGAGAAGCGACCUCGCGAGAGCAAGCGGACCUCAUAAAGUGCGUCGUAGUCCGGAUUGGAGUCUGCAACUCGACUCCAUGAAGUCGGAAUCGCUAGUAAUCGUGGAUCAGAAUGCCACGGUGAAUACGUUCCCGGGCCUUGUACACACCGCCCGUCACACCAUGGGAGUGGGUUGCAAAAGAAGUAGGUAGCUUAACCUUCGGGAGGGCGCUUACCACUUUGUGAUUCAUGACUGGGGUGAAGUCGUAACAAGGUAACCGUAGGGGAACCUGC
rnacentral:rRNA from 8 species